ensembl:lncRNA
CAGAGACAAAAAAAAGUUGCAAAAGAGAGGAUCCUCACUCAGUUGAAGGAUACACUGAGGAAACCACUCCACUCCACUCCAUGCAGAACCAAUCCAUUACAUAGUGAGGAGGAAGUUGAAUCCGAAACGGUGGACACAAACGUGGAUUUGUUCAAUUACCCAGGGAAUUCUCAAUCAACCAGACAAAAAAAGGUUGGAAAGGAGAGGGUCCUCACUCAGCUGAAGGAUACACUGAGGAAACCACUCCACUCUGAUCCACGCAGAACCAACCCGUUACAUAGUGAGGAGGAAGUUCAAGCCGAAACCGUGGACACAAAUGUGGAUUUGUUCGAUUACCCAGAGAAUUUUCAACCAACCGAUACCUUAGAUGCUGCUGAGGCAAGUGGAGAGAGCGUGGAACAGCCAUUAUUUGUCAGUGGUGAAGUGUUGAAAGCUUUGAAAGAAAUUCCCACCUUAGUGCAGUGUGUCAAGGAACUAAUAUCCUCAAUGAACACAGGGAUCGAUACAGCAAGCACAAGCUCAGGGUCCUCCAGCUCAGCCCAAGAGAUGAUUUCUCUGGGCAACAUGGCUGUCCAAGUCAACAAAACCUGCUUUAGGAGAUUGAAUAGGAGCAGAAUGUCCCUGUUCACUCAAGAGUUGGCUGUUUUGUUGUUUGGGAGGGAGGUUCUGGGUUCAUCUAGCCUCACUGGGAAUAGGUCCCAAAAAGAAAGGCUGAACCCAGAAAAAAUGAAUGCACUUAUCGACACUGUCAUAUCUGAGUUUCCGGGCACGUCACAGUCCGAGGUUAGAGCAGUAAUACG